rnacentral:lncRNA from 1 species
UUUUUUUUUAGUUUCAAGGAUCUGACUGUGGCAGAAUAUAUCUUUAUUCUUUUAUGAGGUCCUGCCUUACACAGAUAAAUGUUGUCUCUGUAUGUGGAUUCCUCUCUGAAUCCAAAUAGCCAAACUUUUAAGGAAAUUGUAUUUGUAUGCUAAUUUGUAUUAGCUAGAAUGAAAAUCUGCAUUUAAGAUGGUUCCCAGUGCAAUUUAGAAUUUUGUUUAAAGAUUUUUGAAACGGCCUAAUUGUUUAAAAAAAUGGCGAAACAAUUUCAUUGUCCAUUUCCUGUGAGAAAUCUUAGGGAAAUGAAAGGCUUUGAAGAGUUUGAAAAAUGAAUCAAGGAUAUGCUUUAUGAGGGUGUCUAUGGAAUGUCUGUCUCUGUUUUUUACAAGUUCUAGUCACAGACAUUAUUGUGCAAGGGAUCACGUAAGAUUUGAAAAUAGUGCCUCCUCCCAUUCCACCCCUUAUAGGCAUCUGUUCCUGCUACUUCUGCUCUGUCUCCUUCUCUGCUGCUUUUUUAUGGUCUGGAAUUAUACCCUUUCUGUUUCAGCUAACUUAUAUUUUGCUCAGUACCUGCAUGACCAUUCCGUUUCUAAUUACUUAUAUCUGUUACAUUUUGGGAAAGAAUGUUCCUGACGUAGGAUGCAAUAGAACAAUUAUAGGAGAAGGAAAAGGGAAGAGAAAGGAGAGAUGUGGAAAGAGGGAGGUAGAAAGGGAAGGAGAAUUAGUCGGACAGACAGAAGGGAGGGAGGGGAAAGAGAGAAUUUGGGGGUAGAAUAUCAAUCUUUAUUUCAAGAACUACAAAGCAUAAGACCCCUUCAUAUAGGGUGUUGAAGUAUCAUAUUCUAAGUAGAAAAUAUUACAAAAUCAAAUGUAGAAGAAAUUGGUUGUUUGGGUGCAAUUUCUUCUCUAUUUUUAGAAAAAAAUAUUACCGUUGUAGGUCCAAAAGUUAAUGCUUCAAUCGGUAUCAUCUGAUACAAAUAUGACUGAUUACCGUACACGACAUAGCUUUUCCUUUUCUUUCCCAAAUUUGCCCUCUACUCCACAAAUUCGCAAACGUCAACACGGGUAUAAGUGAAAGUUGAGCAUAAAUACCUUAAUAAAUCAGGUAUUGCAUUGUAUUAGUGGGCCAUGUGAUGUGACUCGACUAUACAUUUUUUGUAAGAAAAUGGUGCCCAGAGGAGGGUUUUGAUUCCUAAAAUAAACAUCAAAUUAUUUAAAUUAGUUUUCAAUUUUGAAGUUUGUUUUAGGAAACAUAAUGAGCGUGUGAUUUUAUGGCAAUUCCUACUUAGAAUAGGAUCUUGAAACCCUAUAUAUAAAGGGGUCUUAUGCUUUGUAAUAAAGAACAACUUUGAUAAUGAAUAGAAAUCCUCUCUCUAUAUUAUUUCCUUCCUAUGUCUACAUUCUGAUAGGAUUCCAGCUAUAUAGAAAAUAAUGACAGGAAAUAGUGAAAUGAACUUUGAUUGAAUUGCAGAAAAAUUACAAAGAAAGUAAAGAACAAUGAGCCAUUCGAGAGGGCUAUAACUCUCCUAAAGGUUUCCCUUCCACUCACUCAAUAAUUGCCCAUCCUACUCCUUACUCCUAUCCUUAUUUAUAGAUCUAUUUCUAACAAACUUUCCCUCCCCCCGCUUGCCCUUUUAACAAAAUAUUGUUGCUGCCCACUCCUCGAUUCUUCCAGGUCCUUCUAGAAUUGGAGGUCUAUCAUUACCUCCGGGUUCCAAAGACACCUUGUCCUCAAGGUGUGAAAUAAGGGGAAUGUUGAAGUAUUGAUGCCUCUGUUCCCAGCAAGCUUC